rnacentral:rRNA from 1 species
CCCUUCGGGGUACUCGAGUGGCGAACGGGUGAGUAACACGUGGGUGAUCUGCCCUGCACUUUGGGAUAAGCCUGGGAAACUGGGUCUAAUACCGAAUAUGACCGCAUGCUUCAUGGUGUGUGGUGGAAAGCUUUUGCGGUGUGGGAUGGGCCCGCGGCCUAUCAGCUUGUUGGUGGGGUAAUGGCCUACCAAGGCGACGACGGGUAGCCGGCCUGAGAGGGUGACCGGCCACACUGGGACUGAGAUACGGCCCAGACUCCUACGGGAGGCAGCAGUGGGGAAUAUUGCACAAUGGGCGCAAGCCUGAUGCAGCGACGCCGCGUGAGGGAUGACGGCCUUCGGGUUGUAAACCUCUUUCAAUAGGGACGAAGCGCAAGUGACGGUACCUAUAGAAGAAGGACCGGCCAACUACGUGCCAGCAGCCGCGGUAAUACGUAGGGUCCGAGCGUUGUCCGGAAUUACUGGGCGUAAAGAGCUCGUAGGUGGUUUGUCGCGUUGUUCGUGAAAACUCACAGCUUAACUGUGGGCGUGCGGGCGAUACGGGCAGACUAGAGUACUGCAGGGGAGACUGGAAUUCCUGGUGUAGCGGUGGAAUGCGCAGAUAUCAGGAGGAACACCGGUGGCGAAGGCGGGUCUCUGGGCAGUAACUGACGCUGAGGAGCGAAAGCGUGGGGAGCGAACAGGAUUAGAUACCCUGGUAGUCCACGCCGUAAACGGUGGGUACUAGGUGUGGGUUCCUUCCUUGGGAUCCGUGCCGUAGCUAACGCAUUAAGUACCCCGCCUGGGGAGUACGGCCGCAAGGCUAAAA